ACAAAGAAAAUCCAUUAGACACACAGUCAGAUUCAGCAACUCUUUUCUGGAGAAGAAGAAGAUGCUACUCAUAGUACCUGUGUUGAUCUUAUGGAUGCAACACAUAAGAUCCCAAGUGGACGGACAGCAGAUAAACCAAAUUCCUAAAUUCUCGCUCCUACAAGAAGGAGAAAACUUCACCACAUACUGCAAUUCCUCAAGCACUUUAAACAGCUUUCAGUGGUAUAAGCAGAGGCCUGGGGGGAGUCCCGUCUUCUUGAUGUUGUUGACUAAGCCAGGAGAAGUGAAGAAGCUGAACAGAUUGACAGCUCAGUUUGGAGACACUAAAAAGGACAGCUCCCUGCACAUCACGGCCGCCCAGUCUGCAGAUGCAGGAACCUACUUCUGCGCGGAGGCACAGUGCUCUGGGAGCACCUGCUGUCUGUCCCCAAACCUCGCUGUGGGCCCCAGGUGCAGCUCCUCCUCAUCUCUCCUCAGAGCAGGAGCCAGAGGAAGCUGA